AAAUUGAAGAGUUUGAUCAUGGCUCAGAUUGAACGCUGGCGGCAGGCCUAACACAUGCAAGUCGAACGGUAACAGGAAGAAGCUUGCUUCUUUGCUGACGAGUGGCGGACGGGUGAGUAAUGUCUGGGAAACUGCCUGAUGGAGGGGGAUAACUACUGGAAACGGUAGCUAAUACCGCAUAACGUCGCAAGACCAAAGAGGGGGACCUUCGGGCCUCUUGCCAUCGGAUGUGCCCAGAUGGGAUUAGCUAGUAGGUGGGGUAACGGCUCACCUAGGCGACGAUCCCUAGCUGGUCUGAGAGGAUGACCAGCCACACUGGAACUGAGACACGGUCCAGACUCCUACGGGAGGCAGCAGUGGGGAAUAUUGCACAAUGGGCGCAAGCCUGAUGCAGCCAUGCCGCGUGUAUGAAGAAGGCCUUCGGGUUGUAAAGUACUUUCAGCGGGGAGGAAGGGAGUAAAGUUAAUACCUUUGCUCAUUGACGUUACCCGCAGAAGAAGCACCGGCUAACUCCGUGCCAGCAGCCGCGGUAAUACGGAGGGUGCAAGCGUUAAUCGGAAUUACUGGGCGUAAAGCGCACGCAGGCGGUUUGUUAAGUCAGAUGUGAAAUCCCCGGGCUCAACCUGGGAACUGCAUCUGAUACUGGCAAGCUUGAGUCUCGUAGAGGGGGGUAGAAUUCCAGGU
rnacentral:rRNA from 1 species